rnacentral:lncRNA from 1 species
UGGGAUCCCUUCAGCGUAACCAAAACAGCACCAACUCCACUACCAUUCACGUUAACGGCCCCAUCAAACAUCAAAAUCCAUUCGAACUCAGGGUCAGGCCCCUCCUCCGGGAUAGGUUCCUCACAAUCUUUCGAUUUGAGAAACAUGAUGUCCUCAUCAGGGAACUCAAAUUUCAUCGGUUGAUAAUCUUCAAUGGGUUGUUGGGCGAGGUAAUCA